AAAAAAAUAAACCCUGGAUUUCCGUAUCCAACGUUUAAUUGUCUAUCUCAUGUGAAAUUUUUUUAUAAUUAGUAUUUUCAUUGUUGGUAGAUGAUAAAAUAUAAUUAAUACUUUAUAUGUGACUUGUCUUUUUAAUUUUUUUUAAGUUUUUUUAAAUAAGACAGACGGUCAAAAGUUAAACACGAAAACCUAGGGUUUGUCUUUUU
rfam:Oryza sativa (indica cultivar-group) chromosome 4, whole genome shotgun sequence.